AAGUUUCAACAACGGAUCUCUUGGCUCUCGCAUCGAUGAAGAACGCAGCGAAAUGCGAUAAGUAAUGUGAAUUGCAAAAUUCAGUGAAUCAUCGAAUCUUUGAACGCACCUUGCGCUCCUUGGUAUUCCUUGGAGCAUACCUGUUUGAUUAUCAU
rnacentral:rRNA from 1 species